AGUCGAGAAUUUUUCACAAUGGGGGAAACCCUGAUGGAGCGACGCCGCGUGGAGGAUGAAGGCCUUCGGGUUGUAAACUCCUGUCAUGCGGGAACAAGCAAGUGAUAGUACCGCAAGAGGAAGAGACGGCUAACUCUGUGCCAGCAGCCGCGGUAAUACAGAGGUCUCAAGCGUUGUUCGGAUUCAUUGGGCGUAAAGGGUGCGUAGGUGGUGGCGCAAGUCUGGUGUGAAAUCUCGGAGCUCAACUCCGAAAUUGCACCGGAUACUGCGUGACUCGAGGACUGUAGAGGAGAUCGGAAUUCACGGUGUAGCAGUGAAAUGCGUAGAUAUCGUGAGGAAGACCAGUUGCGAAGGCGGAUCUCUGGGCAGUUCCUGACACUGAGGCACGAAGGCCAGGGGAGCAAA
rnacentral:rRNA from 1 species